AUGGAAUUAUCAUUACUGUUUUAUACGUCUCAAACGUAAAAUUUGAGACUUAUAAUAUCAGUUAUAGGGCUUUGGAGAUUACGUCAGGCCGCAAUGCAUUGUGGGAGCGUGGCAUCAUUUUCGCAGGCCACGAAUCAAAACAAACACUGUAAUGGAAGGAAGAUUGCUACGAACCAUACUUAAAGGCAGCUCAAAAGAAAAUGGACUUUAUAGAGUACGAUUGGGUCCGAAUGCAAAGAGACGGUACUUGUAAAAAAUAGCGUGUAUUGAAAAUGGAUGAAAUUACAGCAGUGGAGAAGAAAUCGUGAAGACCAACCGACUUAGCCUGAUAUGUUUUCGUACAUGUGGAGUCAGCGCAUACACAUCGACCCAGUUUUGCAUUAUAAAUGUCUGGAGGGGCAUAUCCAAUUCACCAAUGGUGGCUAUUUUUAAGACUCCACGUUGUGAAUACGCCGUCAUUCAAACAAAGGAGUUGGAACCAGUGCUAGUUAUUAAAAUGGUCAUCACCAGACCAAGGCUCAAUCAAGUCAUGCAAGAAGGAAUCAGGUGAGAUAGUAAGCUGCUGUUAUAUACAGGGGUGCACAUAAGUGGUCUGCAGGUGCGCAUUUGCUGUCAAAAUGAAAGACGCGCACCAGAUAAGAAGUUGCAACGCGCGUUGCAACUAUCAUUAUUGCACAGAUGACUUUCACAGUGCCUCGUUUUACUGUCAUAUUAUUAUGCAAGGUCUUUUAUGGAAAUACACUGUACAAGGACUUGGCUGGUAACCCACUUCACAUCUCCUUGAUAAACACUGGAGAAUCAUGCAAAGAUUUUGAUGUAACAGAUUGACCUCUAACAGCAACGAUGGGCAUCAGUGAUGAGAAGACCCUUGUUGAGAUGGCGUCGAGUGUGUGCAUGUCUGGAGUGAGGAAAAACCCUUCCACCUUGAAAAGCUUAAUGGUCACAGAGGACAUGGCAAAUAAGAUUGAGACAGCAACAGGAGAACAAGGACCAGGACUGGCAUCAGCUCCAUAGGCCAAGGAUCACAUCUUCAUGUUUGAGAGGUUUGUUAUUUGAGGGGUGAAACUGUGCAGAGAGAAUCCUCAAAAGAAUGAGACAGACUGCAGACGUGAGCACAGGGACAGACGUAGAGUUUAAUGCAGUUGGAGAAAACUGCAAAUUAAAAAACUUUAACUACAGGCUUCAUGGCCUCGUUGUCCACUCUUAAGCUCCCUAGCUUGGUGCCUCACCAGAUAGGCCGAUCUUUGAUCCUUCUGCACAGCCACUGUUUGGACUGGUUGAGAUAAAGUGGCCUUAUGUGAGUAAUUGUGUUCACUGCAGAUACCUUCAACUGCAGCAUGGUACUCUGUCUCUCUGUAAAAGUCACUCGUACCGACUAUGUUGACACAAAGUUGACAACAGCAUCAGAGAGAGUAUGGACUGGUGUUAUUUUCAUGUUCACACGCUGACCCACUUCUAUCUUAAAAAGAAUUGGAUUUCUACUGUGUGGUCUUAAAAAGUAACAGGUUAUUUAAAGAUGCCAAGUUAAAUGUUCAGUAUGUUGGUCACUCUACUAGAUGAGCAAUCUGUGCAAGUGAACUGUGCAACUUCACUGACAGUGAAAUUCUUAGCCAGGGAUUUGUUUUGAUAAUACUUAGGAAGGACACAUUUGCACUGCCAGCACCGGUCAGAGGGAUAAAGGGUGUCAAAUAUUUUGUUUGCCUUGAUGCUUCUAAUUGCUCUCUCCAUAUGUAUCAUUAGAUGUGCAAUAUUCUAGUGUGUGGUGAUAAAUCUAAA